rnacentral:rRNA from 1 species
UACGGGGGGGGUAAGCGUUGUUCGGAAUUACUGGGCGUAAAGGGUCUGUAGGUGGCUUGCUAAGUCAGACGUGAAAUCCCUCAGCUUAACUGGGGAACUGCGUCUGAGACUGGCGAGCUUGAGUGCAGGAGAGGAACGCGGAAUUCCAGGUGUAGCGGUGAAAUGCGUAGAUAUCUGGAGGAACACCGGUGGCGAAAGCGAUGCACUGGCUGGUUUCUGACGCUGAGGUGCGAAAGCCAGGGGAGCAAACGGG